GCUCCAUAAGAGAGGAAGGGACUCCCACGGACCCACAUCCCCUCCCUGGUACAUAAACUGACCGUCGGGGAGAUAUAAAUACAGGCGGAGGAGAUUUUGCCUCACACCCUUCAGUGUUCCUCCAAGAAAAGGAAUGCACCAUGGAUAAGCGAAUAUUAAUCCUGGUUCUUUUAGUGUCUUCGCUGUGCAUAAUGGCUGAUGCUCAUGAGAAGAGGAGUC